UACGGGGGGGGCAAGCGUUGUUCGGAAUUACUGGGCGUAAAGCGCACGUAGGCGGACUCUUAAGUCGGUGGUGAAAUCCUGGAGCUCAACUCCAGAACUGCCUUCGAUACUGGGAGUCUCGAGUCCGGGAGAGGUGAGUGGAACUGCGAGUGUAGAGGUGAAAUUCGUAGAUAUUCGCAAGAACACCAGUGGCGAAGGCGGCUCACUGGCCCGGUACUGACGCUGAGGUGCGAAAGCGUGGGGAGCAAACAGG
rnacentral:rRNA from 1 species